rnacentral:rRNA from 1 species
CACCGCCCGUCACACCAUGGGAGUUGGGUUCACCCGAAGGCGGUCCGCCAACCUGGCAACAGGAGGCAGCCGACCACGGUGAGCUCAGCGACUGGGGUG